UCCUGAAGAUUUUCCUCAGAGAAUUUUUCAUCUCUUUGUUCCUGAGACUAUAUAUUAGAGGAUUGCAGAGAGGUGUUAUCACAGAAUAGAAAAAGGUCACUUGAUAUUCUUGGCUUGAUGAAAAAAGAACAAGAUUCUAACGUGACAGAAUUUGUUCUUCUGGGCCUAUCAUCUUCUUGGGAGCUGCAGCUAUUUCUCUUCUUACUAUUUUUGUUUUUUUACAUUGCUAUCGUCCUGGGAAACCUCUUGAUAGUGGUAACAGUGCAAGCCCAUGCUCACCUGCUCCAACUUCCUAUGUAUUAUUUUUUAGGUCAUCUCUCUUUCAUUGACCUAAGCCUGAGCUGUGUUACUGUGCCAAAGAUGUUAGGGGAUUUCCUACAGCAGGGCAAGAGCAUCUCUUU
rnacentral:sRNA from 1 species